AGCGAACGCUGGCGGCAGGCUUAACACAUGCAAGUCGAACGGUCCUUCGGGAUAGUGGCGGACGGGUGAGUAACACGUGGGAACGUACCCUUAGGUUCGGAACAACACAGGGAAACUUGUGCUAAUACCGGAUAAGCCCUUCGGGGGAAAGAUUUAUCGCCUUUGGAGCGGCCCGCGUCUGAUUAGCUUGUUGGUGAGGUAAUGGCUCACCAAGGCUACGAUCAGUAGCUGGUCUGAGAGGAUGGCCAGCCACACUGGGACUGAGGCACGGCCCAGACUCCUACGGGAGGCAGCAGUGGGGAAUCUUGCGCAAUGGGCGAAAGCCUGACGCAGCCAUGCCGCGUGGAUGAUGAAGGUCUUAGGAUUGUAAAAUCCUUUCACCGGGGACGAUAAUGACGGUACCCGGAGAAGAGGCCCCGGCUAACUUCGUGCCAGCCGCCGCAGUAA
rnacentral:rRNA from 1 species